GAUGAACGCUGACAGAAUGCUUAACACAUGCAAGUCAACGUGAACUUCGGUUUGGGUGGCGGACGGGUGAGUAACGCGUAAAGAACUUGCCUCACAGAUAGGGACAACAUUUGGAAACGAAUGCUAAUACCUGAUAUUAUGAUUAUAUGGCAUCGUAUAAUUAUGAAAGCUAUAUGCGCUGUGAGAGAGCUUUGCGUCCCAUUAGCUAGUUGGAGAGGUAACGGCUCACCAAGGCGAUGAUGGGUAGCCGGCCUGAGAGGGUGAUCGGCCACAAGGGGACUGAGACACGGCCCUUACUCCUACGGGAGGCAGCAGUGGGGAAUAUUGGACAAUGGACCAAGAGUCUGAUCCAGCAAUUCUGUGUGCACGAUGAAGUUUUUCGGAAUGUAAAGUGCUUUCAGUUGGGAAGAAAAAAAUGACGGUACCAACAGAAGAAGAGACGGCUAAAUACGUG
rnacentral:rRNA from 1 species